GUUAGUUAGUUAGGUAUGGUUCCCUAUCCUUCCUGCACUUUUCCUGAAACAUACAUCCACAUAAACUUCAACACACCAGCAGACAUAUCCUUUGCUAAUGAAUUCUUCUGUCUUCAGAAUUUAUUUUUAACAUUGUUUGCCAAAAAUAUGGAACUGUAGCUUAAGUUUGUGUCACUAAUAAGCCACUUCUCGAGGGGAAGCAAUUAAAGUUGACACUGCAACAUUCAACCUCUAAAUGUUUAAAUUAUGGUUGGCUUAUGGAGGACACGGUGAAGCUGAUAUGACUUGGCAUUGUUUCCUGUCUUUUUUUUAACACUUGUGAUGUCCAUUAUCAUCCUCGUUAUUUUGUUGAAGCUGAAAUCCUUUCACAAAGUUCACUAUAUUUUGCUUGCAGUGAGAGAUGAUUAGUAUUACUCUAUUUAACCUUAUUAUAUCCUGCUUCCUUACCCCAUACAAACAUAUUAAAUACUGUGUGAGCUAAUGUAGCAGUGCCUGGGAGAACCAGAUCAAGACCACCACAUAUAAAAAUGUAACCUAUAACAAAGCAGAUUUCCCUACAAACAAAAUUGUUGAAUUGAUGGACAAGAAUGUAAGAGAAGCAGGAGCACUGUGGUUGCUACCCCCUCAAAGAGCUCCAUCACUGUCCAGCUCAUCUGAUGAAUUUUUCCAGCAGCGACCCAAUCUUGUCCUGUAUUGCUCUGAGUCAGGAACUAAUGGAUCUUGUUGUGAAAAUGACUCCAGGAGUAGUAACUGGAAUGAGUGGACCAGCUGAAAUGUAUUGACCCAUUACCCCAGGUUUUUGGAAAAUCAAGCCUUUUGGUCUAAGGUAGCUUGUCUCCUGCUGCCAAGCUCAAGAACCAUUAGCCUGAAGUGCAAGCUGUCCUGAUAUGACUGGAAAAGGUUACCAAAGCUGGAGAGGACAGGUAAACAACUCAAAACAUGUUAGCUGGAGGAAUUUACUCUCUCUUGGCAAAAUCAGCUUUACAAAGAGACACAUCUCAUAUCAGGCAGCUCAAUGUUUGACUGUGAGGGUCUGAAGAGCCAUCCUGUUCAUGUUCUACCCUCCCAUCCAAAUCAGAGAGCAGCAGAGAGGACAGCCUCACUGUUAGUCCAAGCUCUAAAUGUCAAUUCCUUCUUGAUGGCUUAUCAAGCCAAGCUAGCAGAGGAGGGGACUGCCUCACCCGACCCUGCUUUGUGGGGAGGGGGAUUGUGCAUCAUCACUUAUCACUGCCUCCAUCUGCAGCCACCUGCCUCCACCUAAAUGGCUUGUCCCGGUGUAGAGCUAUGGGACUGUUGAGGCUUACUAUCCUGUCAAGGAGAGGAAAAGAGGAAAGCUUGAGUGUAUCUGUACUGGAGCAUUUGUGUUGGUCCUAUCAAGGUCAGCUUAUGUCCAGUACAGUGGCGAUUGCUCUAAGACUGCAAGGGAAGCUCAGCUUCCCUUAAAAUGUCACCCCCCAAAAAACAGAAAAAGUGGUGAAAUACGUACGGCUGUGUGUACAUUUCAUUAACUAAAUACACGCUAGAAAGCCUUCACCUUUUGUUCAGAAUCAGCUUCUUAUCACAGUGUGAUAAGAAGCUGAUAAUCACAGGUCUAAACUUCGUUCUCAUUCAUCCUCGCAGUGCCUCACCGCUUCACACAGCCAGAUGCUCAGCGUCUGCUGACUUCAAUGUGGAAGCUCAAAGUGGGUUGUUCCAGCAGCGAAACUAGACGCUCAUUGGAUAAAUGCUGGGCUUCGUCCCGCCCAUCGGACGCUCAGCGUCUCUGGAGUUCUAUGACGAGAGGGCGGUCCCGACUUUCUCGCGGACGCUGAGCUUCUGCAUCCAUGAUUGGAUGAGCUGUCUGAGGCGAAAUCCUUUCUUGAUUGACAGCUAAACAAGCGAAUCAGCGAUCUUGAAGAAUAAAACAUCUACCAGAGCAUUUUCCAAGUCAUUCAUUCCGUUGUUCUUAACUGCUCCUGAGACUUUACCGAUCCUCAGCGACUUUUGUCUUUGUUAAAAACGACUGCCGUUGUGUUUGGCGACUCUGUUCUGUUACAUACAAAUAAACAAACACAAUUAUGAUGUAGGCCAGAAAAAUGAGCUUCCCCUCCUUGAAAGACCAGCAGCCACCACUGGUGCAGUAUGGUGGGGCUAACAUGACGUCAGUCCAUGUGGAGAUUGCCAGGGCCAGAUUUUGACCCUCAUCCAGCCCAGCACAUCAUUUUCACAAGUAGUUGAUGAAUGAAAUUCAUCUUAAUCUUAAUGUUGUCUUGUGUUGAAGGAAACCAUAGACUUUGCUGAAUAUUGAGAAGCAGGGAUUUUUUUUAAAUGAGGGUCACUGGAUGAAAAAAAUCUUUUUGAAUGACAAAACUUUGACGACCAAUCAACGAUGUCCCUUGACAACUACUCAGAAGGACACAUGAGCAGAGGUAGAGAGAUAUAUGCAGGAGACAAAGAGCACACAAACACAAAAAUGAAGGAAAAACUACGAAUGCUCCAAACUACAGUCAAGUAUACAUCAUAGAAGAAUUAAAAUACAACAAAGUGAGCAAUCUAUCCUUGGAAACACUGUAGGUGGUGUCUUGACUGUUUGGGGUCAAGUCAGGUGAAGCAGAAUUUGAGUAUAAAUCCAACUAUCCAAAAUAUUCAAUCAAAUGUCACCAUCUGUUCUUAAAGCCCUUAUUCAAAUUUAAAGCGUCAUUUUAAGAAGUAGAAAAAAAAUGGAAUCUAAAAAAUCCUGUAAAAAGCAAAAGAGAAGACAUCAUCUUCCUGGACAGACUGACUUUAAAACGAUGAUGUCUAUACAGACUAUACCAACAAAGUGAACUCUCAGUGAACCUGGAAACAGGACAGACUAUAAAAUAGACAAGAGGCAUAGCUCAGCACAUCCACACAGCACGUAAGUAAGAGAGAGGAAGUAAGGAAGCACACAGCCUGCACCUCAGGGACAUAAAGAGACUGUUGAGCUGCUGAGUGAUUUACACUAUUUCUACAGUUAAGGACCCUUGUGCUGGGCUGUAAUUAAAAAAUGAUGACAAUGACAGAUUUUUUUUUUUUGUAAAGGAGCAGCUUACCAAAAGUCAAGGAGAGAAGUUUAACUUGUCUGUAAAGUCAGACUAUCAGUACUGAUGUGCCACAAAUAUAUCAUUAAUAUUAGAUUUAAGAGACAAGUGACCUUACAUUGAGCAGAAUAAUUAUUAGUUAAGACUGCUUAUUAACUGCCUAAUGAUUGAACUAGAUUACAAAAAUGAUUCCCAAAGUGGGAGUGCAGCCACAGGGGGAGGCAGGCUGGAGUCAUUUCAGGAGGGCCGCAGCAAGACUAGAUAAGAGCUAUGAGCAUAGCUGUUCAGUGCAAGCACAGCAUGGCCAAUUCUGAGUGAUUAUAACCUCAAGCUUUAGGAUUACAAUAAAUCUACCGUUAACAUUACACCUCUACCAGCAAACACAAGAAGCUGAGGAGUCACCUCACCCUCAGCUUGACCCCCAACAAUAAUAAUAAUAAUAAUAAUAAUGCAUCAGAUUUCAUAUAGGCAGGAAGUUGCAUGUCUCAGAGCUACAUUUGAUCACAUCUACAGUAAAAGUUUCUUGUUGGUUUUUACAUGUCAGUCUCACUCAUUUAUGCUCCAAUUCAGUAGAUAGUAAGAACGCUUAAUAAACCGUUUUGAAGGCACUAGAAUUUGUCAGAGGGACAUGCCUAAAGUGUAUCUUAAUGAAUGCAUGUUGAUGUGUGAGUGUGUCUGAUGAGGGAAAGGUGUUGAAAAUAUGUUCAUGGACUACAGGGGGCCUACAGAAAAGUCUGGGGACCACUGGUUUACUGUAUAACAUCAUGAGAAAAUGACCAUGAAGUCGAAGAUCUCAUAACUUUCAGGCAGUUUCACACAUUGGUCUUGCUUUUUGGCACAUUAUGCUGAUGUACAAGGCUUACACUUACUGAGUUCAGCUAAAGAAUCAGAAGAGCUCUGACAACAUCUAGUGGCUGAAAUGGGAACUGCAAUGAGUGGAGGAAUAGUGCUGGGCAGGUAUGUAUCAUAAAUCAAAUGUACGUUUCUUUCAGAGGGCAGGUCAUGUCCUCAACAGUUAAUUUAAUUUGCCACUAAUUAAGGUAAUUAGUAAAAGCUGUUCAAAAUGCCACAGAAUAUUUGAACUGCACCAUGACCUAAACUUUACAUUGUGUUAUUACACAUUAUUGUGUUGUAUCCAGACUGUUUUUUGCUAUUUCACAUUCACAUUUCACAUGUGCUAUUUCACAGGUUUGCAGAGAAACAUGUUCAAUCCUGUGGCAUAUUACUGGGGAUGGGUGAAUUCAUGUUUCCAGGCACCAUUACUACAAAGACAGAGAGCUUGGAUUUUGUAUGUGCUGAAAGUGAGGAAUCAGGAUCACCAAAAAACUUCAGAACGUUUAGACUUUGAGUGUCAUUAAGCUGAUCUUCCAUUACACCUACAAUCCAUGAUUGUUAUUAGAGCAUUAUCAAUCGUAUGGUGGAGGAGAAAUGUCAUCUGCAAAAUCAACACCAGUAUUCACAAUAACAAAGCAUCAAAAAACAAACAAACAAACAGACAGACAAACAAACAAAUAAAACAGAGUUGUGUUUAAAUCAGCAUUGUAAGGUUUGUAUCAAAGAGUAGAGGUACUAUCAUUGCGUGUGUAGUAGGCCACUGUUUUGGGGAUAUCUUUAUCAUCUCUUUCUCUCUUUUUUAAUCUUAUUUCAUUAUUUAGAAUUUAACCUCUGAAUUUUAUAGGCCCUGUGUAUUUUUAGACAUAAAAACAGACAGAAUAAUUAAUUGAUGAAUACAGUAUGUACAGUGCCUUGAAAAAUUCAUAUCCCUUGAACUUUUUCACAUUUUGCCACUCUACAACCACAAACUUAAAAGUAUUUUAUUGACGUUUUUUGUCAUAGACCAACACAAAGUUGCACAUAACUGUGAAGUGGAACAAAAAUGAUAUGUGGUUUUCAAAAAUUUAAACAGAUAAAAAUCUGAAAAGUGUGGUGUGCAUUUGUAUUCAGCCCCCUUGUGUCAAUACUUUGUAGAGCCACCUUUCGCUGCAAUCACAGCUGCAAGUCUUUUGAGGUAUGUCUCUACAAGCUUUGCACAUCUAGAGACUGAAAUUGCUGCCCAUUCGUCUUUGCAAAAUUGCUCAAGCUCAGCCAGAUUGGAUGGAGAGAGUCAGUGAACAGCAAUUUUCAAGUCUUGCCACAGAUGCUCAAUGGGAUUUAGGUCUGGACUUUGAGUUGGCCAUUCUAACACAUGAAUAUUCUUUGAUCUGAACCUUUUCAUUGUAGCUCUGGCUGUAUGUUUAGGGUCAUUGGGCUCUAUUUUCGUGCCUCGCCGGAGACGUGCCGCAGGCGCGGCGUAAGUCUGGUCCGCCGCGCCGACAAGGCGUUCCCAAGCACAAUUUGGUAUUUUGGUAAGCGGCGCAGCCCGGCGUAAGUAUCCCCCCUCCCUAACUCAGCUCCUCCCAGUGGCGUAAGUCAUAGAGAGGGAGGAGAAAGGUGGUGGAGUGGGUUUAACACAGCCGAGAUCUGCUUUCACCAAUCACAUCAGCUCCUCUCCUCGCCUUUAAAUCCGCCACAGGCUGUAUUACCACUUUCGUGAAGUAGUCAGAGAGAUCAAGAGAUGUCUAAAGACAGUAAUGCCACAAGAUGGCGACAGAAGGCAGCCCCUCAACAAGUGUCACUGUAAGCGCUGCAUUGGGCGUCCUCCACACUCUCGCAUAUGAGCACAGAUGGAUUUGGUGUGUGUAAUGUUGGACCCACUGGUAAGACAAACACCCUUUUCCACAAAUAAAGACACUCACAUAAAGUUGCAUAUAUUCAAACCUCACAUGACAAAGGUGGGUUUAGCGCACAGAUCACAACAUUAACUCCAAAAAUGGCAUUAAAAUUGGAACCAUCUGUUCAUAAAUGACGCAUCGCGCUCCGUGGCCUGGCUCUUUCUUUCAUAGAUGUUGGCAUAUAAAAUAAAUUUGGCCCACAAAACUGAAUAUUAUAAUAUCCGUAUGUCGGCUUAAAGUAGAUAACUCAUCUGAGCACUGAAACAAAUCAUCUGUCAGCCGACGAAAAUACAACUGCACGGGGUCCACCACCCUCCGUCGCCUCACCAGUGUACACGAAAAUAGAGCCCUUUGUCUUGCUGGAAGGUGAAUCUCUUUCCCGGUUUCAAGUCUUUUGCAGCCUCCAACAGGUUUUCUUCCAGGAUUGCCCUGUAUUUAGCUCCAUCCAUCCUCCCAUCAACUCUGACCAGCUUCCCUGUUCCUGCUAAAGAAAAGCAUCCCCACAACAUGAGGCUGCCAUCACCAUGUUUUACAGUGGGGAUGGUGUGUUUAGGGUGAUGAGCAGGGUUACUUUUCUGCCACACAUAGUGCUUUGCAUUCAGACCAAAAAGUUUAACUUUGGUCUCAUCUGACCAGAGCACCUUCUUCCACGUUUGCCGUGUCCCCUACAUGGCUUGUGGCAAACUGCAAAUGGGACUUUUUAUGUCUUUUUGUCAACAAUGGCUUUCUUCUUGUCAUAAAGGACAGAUUUGUGGAGUACACGACUUAUAGUUGUUCUGUGGACAGAUUCUCCCACCUGAGCUGUGGAUUUCUGCAGCUCCUCCAGAGUGACCAUGGGCCUCUUGGCUGCUUCUCUCACCAGUGCUCUCCUUGCUCAGUCUGUCAGUUUAGGUGGAUGGCCAUGUCUCAGUAGGUUAGCAGUUGUGGCAUACUUCUUUUUGGAUGAUGGAUUGAACAGUGCUCCUUAAGAUGUUUAAAGCUUAGGAUAUGUUUUUAUAACCUAACCCUGCUUUAAACUUCUCCACAACUUUUUUCCUGACCUGUCUGGUGAGUUUCUUGGUCUUCAUGAUGCUCUUUGUUGACUAGUGUUCUAUAACAAAGCCCUGAGGCCUUCACAGAACAGUUGCAUACAGUUGUGUGUGAAAGUCAGGGCACCCCUUUAAAAAAAAGCAUAGUUUAUUUAUUAAAAAAUUAACCUUGAUAUUUAUAGUCUCUCUGGUAAAUAGGAUAAAAGAUAAUAUUAUCAGAAAUCAUUAAUGCACAGUUACUUUUUAUUUUAUAAAAGGUACAAAAUUACAGAAAUAAAAAUCAUCUUUUUGGCAUGCGCAAAUGUCAGGGCAUUCUUCAGCAUCCGUACCUUCAGUACUUAGUAAGACCCCCUCUGGCAGAUUUCACAGCUUGUAAACGCUUUUUAUAGCCGACUAAAAGUCUCUGGAUUCUAUCCUUUGGGAUUUUACCCCAUUCUUCUUUGCAAAAGGCUUGCAGUUCUGCAAUAUUCUUGGGUCGUCUUGCAUGCACAGCUCUUUUAAGAACAACCCACAGAUUUUCAAUGAUGUUUAAGUCUGGAUAGCUGAGCAGAUAAGGAAAUCAUCGUUCACUUUGUUAUACAAGCAUGAAAUUUGGUACAUAUACUCUUCAAACCCCACUCUUUUCAAAAAUAACGUUAGCCACGCAAAAUUCCAAGAUGGUGGCCCCAAAAUCCAAGAUGUCCGCCCCAAAAUGUGGUUUUUCCUUUAUAACUCAAAAUGACUUGAUUUUAUGCCCCAUACAUAUAUUGAAGUUGAAUAUAAAGUUGGGUAUUGUGGACAUUUUGGUACCUAGUACAUUUCUGUAUCCAUUACGGUUCUUGAGAUACAGCAUUUAGAUACUUGUACAGAAUUGGGAGAGUGAGAAAUUUGUAACACUGAUUGUUGUUAUGUGCAUAUGGUUGCAUGAAAAUAUCAUUUCCAUAAUCUGUUAUUUUCAUUAGGGUUAUAACAUUAAAUUCGAAAACCAAGAUGGUGUCCAAGAUGGCUGCCAUUGCCUUGAAGUAAUCAUGAAUUCAGCAGAGAUGAAUCAUGAAUUCAGAAGGAUGAAACUUGUCAUAAAAGGUUAAAAAUUAGGCAUUUUGUGACAAUUUUCUGAUUUUUGUUAUGGUGUUAGGUAUGUGUAUUUCCAUCCAUUACCGUUCUUGAGAUACAGCAUUUAGAUACUUGUACAGAAUUGGGAGAGUGAGAAAUUUGUAACACCGAUUGUUGUUACGUGCAGAUGGUUGCAUGAAAAUAUCAUUUCCAUUACCAAAGUGUCUGCAAUACCCAACUUUAUAUUCAACUUCAAUAUAUGUAUGGGGCUUAAAAUCAAGUCAUUUUGAGUUACAGAAAUAAAAAUCAUAUUUUUGGGGCGGACAUCUUGGAUUUUGGGGCCGCCAUCUUGGAAUUUUGCAUGGCUAACGUUAUUUUUUAAAAGAGUGGGGUUUGAAGAGUAUAUGUACCAAAUUUCAUGCUUGUAUAACAAAGUGAACGAUUCGGGCUAUAUCAUGCAUUUGUCUGCUCCACUAAAGAUGACAAGAAGAAGAAGAUUCAUUAGCUUACAGAAACGAUGAGCAAACUAUUUCACCAGGUGUAUUUGCUUGACAACUAUGUGACCAAGAAAAAGACUACCAGACCACUUACAGUUUGCUACUUAUGUUUAACACUCAUUGGAGCUGAAGCACAGACUUACUAAUUUUCAAUCUCUGCAAAAUGAUGCGUUUUUGCAUAACCUGACACCCACAGAAAAACUGAGACAUUAAGAUACACAGCAAGUUUAUGGCACUUUAAACUCUUUUAUAGCAAACAGGACGCUAUAUAAAAACUAUUGAUCAUCAAGGUCCUUGCCCAAACCUAACUUUAUUGAUAUUUACCUUUAGUUAGAGGAAAAUUUUUGCAAGCAAUCUGGGACACAGUUGCUUCUAUGCUAGGCUAGUGUUGUUGAAUCCUAUUGGUUUUGCAAAGUGAUAUGAUGUCAUUCAAGUUUAAGCUGACCUUUUAUUUCACUUAGGCUAAUAACCAGUUUAUUUCUUUUUUCUAAUUUUAGCACAUAGUCCAGAGGAAGUAAAUGGAACGCUAUGCAAAAGUGAUGAAGACUUACAAAAAGAAGAAAUCGAUCAAAGCUAUGGAGUUAAAUUAGUGCCAAAACCUCAAAAACUGUGUUUUAUUCACGGUCAAUGAUUCACAAACAAACUCAGUGUGAUUUGCAAAAGCAGAACAUCAUUCACAACUAAUGCAUUUAGUUUUGUUAACAAAAAGAAAUGUCGCUCCAACAAGUACAUCAUGCUUCACAAAUACAGAAAAAAAUCUAUCUUCACUUACAUGAAAAUAUCCUUCAGGUGCAAAAAUAAAAUCAAGUACAAAAAAAAUUAUCGUUCAAAUACGAAUUUAAAUCUUUCAAGUUUUAAUUUUUUCUUCUCGAGUUCAAAAAAAAAAUUCUGCAAGUAGGAGGAAAAAAUUCUGCAAGUAGGUUAGAUUUAUUCACGAAUGCCAGCGCACGACCCGAGCAAUGUUCUGCAAAGUGCAUGCCACAACAGCAGGUGGCACUGUUAUUGCCAUUUAAGACCAUAGAUCUAUAUCAUAGAUACAGCCAGGAGGCCAGGACAGAGGACAGAAUCACUCGCCUAUGGAGGUAUUCUUGGUGCAAAAGGUUUGUGCAUCUGUAACAUGUAGUUUGUAGUUGUGUACAAGUUUUUUUUAAUUUUUAUUUAACCUUUAUUUAACCAGGUGAGGCUUAUUGAGAUAUAAAAUCUCUUUUACAAGAGCAACCUGGCCAAGAGGCAGCAAAGUUACAGAGUUACAGUAAAAUCAUUUAAAAUAAAUAACAAUAACUCAAUAAGCAGAGUAACAUCUUGUUAAAAACAGUCAAAAAGGCCAAUGCUUUCCAGUUCCCUCAUUUUAAGAAUUUUCACAAAGUCCUCAAAGGGGAUCAGAUCUGAUCAUUUUAGUUCCUUUUGUAAUGAAUUCCAUGCAGUAGGAGCAGCAAAGCAGAAGGCCCUUUUUCCUAACUCAGAGGGGACAUGGGGAGUAUUUAACAUCGACAAGCCAGUGGAUCGUAGCCAGUAGAAAUUAGGUUUGAGAUAUGAUAUUUGAAAUUUAGACAAUCAUCCAGAUGGAAACCCAGGUACUUAUAGGACGAUACUAGCUUAAUGGCUGCACCCCCGCAGGAAAAUACGGGGAGAUUUGUUGACAGCACAGUAGCCCUGGAAAACAGCAUAACCUUUAUCUUAUCAAUGUUCAAGACCAGUUUCUGCCUUUGCAGGCGACCUGAACAACAUCAAAGGCCGACUGCAGACGAGUGAAAGCAUGCACAUCAGACGAUGCACAGCAGUAAAUGACUGUAUCAUCUGCAUAAAAAUGAUAGAAGGCAUCUGACAAAUUGUUACAGAGAUCAUUUAUAUAAAUAGAAAACAGAAUGGGCCCCAACACCGAUCCUUGUGGUACCCCUUUUGAGACCAUCAGAAAUGUAGAUGUGGAGCCUGCCAUCUGGACACACUGAGACCUACAUGAUAGGUAAUUCCUGAACCAAGAGACUGCAUGCUCAGAUAAGCCCACUUUGUGCAGUGUAUCAAUUAGAUUAUUAUGAUAACUGUGUCGAACGCUUUGGAUAAGUCAAUAAAUAGUGCUACACACACUUUCUUUGAAUCUAAUGCACCAAUAAUGUUGUUCAAAACCUUGAGUGCUGCAGAGACAGUGCUGUGUUCUUUCCUAAAGCCAGAUUGGCAACUUGAUAAAAUGCUUGAUUCCUCAAGGAAAUCUUUUAGUUGAUUGCUGACAAGUCUUUCGAAGACCUUUGCUUAAAUGCACAGCUUUGAAAUAGGUCUAUAACUGUUCAAAAUUGAGGGAUCUCCCCCUUUUAGGAGGGAAAGAACAAAGUCAGACUUCCAUAUGAUUGGGACUUCACUGUUAAGAAGACUCAGAUUAUAUAAAUUUGAUAGAGGCUGAGCAAUGAAAUCUGCAGCCACUUUUAGAAAGUAUGGCUCAAGCUGAUCAGGACCGGCAGAUUUCUUUGGGUCCAGCUGUUUCAGUUCCCUCAACACAUCAACUGGAGAUAUUGUAAGAAACUGAAAUAGAGCUUCCACAUUUUGUCUACAAACUGGCUUGACAUUAUUUUCAAUGCGAGGAUCAAGACUGCUUGAUUUUUGAUUAGAUUCAAAUAAAAAUCCUGCAGAAAUAAAAUGCUCAUUAAAACAAUUUAAAAUCUCAGACCUGUCAGUUAUCAUACAUGAGUCAUUGUUGAUAAAAGAAGGUGGUUCAGUGGUGGAAACCUGACCAGAAAAGGACCUCAUCAUUUUCCAAAACUUUCUUCAUUUAAAUAUUUACUGGUUUCCGAAAAGUAGUACUCUGCCUUUGCACUUCUUAUACACUGAGUAAACCGAUUUCUAAGCUGCCUAAAUCUGAGCCAAUCAAUGUCAGCCUUAGUUUGUCUUGCUCUGACCCAAGCUUUAUUUCUAUCUCUAAGGAGACUAUUUAAUUCUGGAGAAAACCAUGGAUUAUUGUGACUUUUUAUUCGCAAUUAGCGAAAAGGAGCAUGUUUAUUUAGAAUUUUCAGGAAAUCAUCAGAAAAGAAAUUCCAAGCCAAUUCCACAUCACCAAUAAGAUUUAGUCUGUCCCAGUCAAAAUUAUAAAGAUCAUGAAAAAAAGCUUGCUCACAAAAACGUUUGAGGUCUCUUUUGAGGAGCAGUCGGGGCUUCAUUUUAGGGAGUUUAGCCUGCCUGACAGUUGCAAUAACACAAUGAUCACUUCGAUCAUUUGCAAAAGUGCCCACAUCAGAGAAUUUAUGAAGGGAAUUUGUUACAAACAUAUCAAGCAAGGAUGACUUCUCAGGACAUUUAGCAUUUGGGCGUGUUGCCCCCUUAACAAGUUGUGUCAGAUUAAAAGAGUCACAGAACGAUUUGAGGUUGUCUGACACUGAGGUCAGCCAAUUACAGUUGAAGUCCCCUACUAGCAAUAACUCAUUUGAUCCAAAAUUAGCCAAGUUCUGUGCUAAUGAAGUUAGGGCCUCAGCACUAGCAGAAGGGGGCCUAUAACAUCCAAUUAUAUUAAUAAAUUGACUCUGAGCAAGAUCUAGUUUUAAAACCAAUAAUUCAAAUUGCUUGCAGACAGACACUGAAGAUAAAAGACUAACAUGGAAUUUAUUUUUUACAUAUAUAACAAUUCCUCCCCCUUUUUUGGGGGCGAUCGUAGCAAUGUGAAGUAUACCCCUUUAUACUGACAUCUUUAUCUUGAACUAACUUUUUUAGCCAGGUUUCUGAUACAACUAUAAUGUUUGCAUCUGUUGAACAGGCCCAAAUUCUAAUGCCA